AGAGCAGCCGCGGUAAUACAGAGGGUGCGAGCGUUAAUCGGAUUUACUGGGCGUAAAGCGUGCGUAGGCGGCUUCUUAAGUCGGAUGUGAAAUCCCUGAGCUUAACUUAGGAAUUGCAUUCGAUACUGGGAAGCUAGAGUAUGGGAGAGGAUGGUAGAAUUCCAGGUGUAGCGGUGAAAUGCGUAGAGAUCUGGAGGAAUACCGAUGGCGAAGGCAGCCAUCUGGCCUAAUACUGACGCUGAGGUACGAAAGCAUGGGGAGCAAACAGGAUUAGAUACCCCCGUAGUCCCUGUCUCUUAUACA
rnacentral:rRNA from 1 species